UACGUAGGGUGCAAGCGUUAAUCGGAAUUACUGGGCGUAAAGCGUGCGCAGGCGGUUAUAUAAGACAGAUGUGAAAUCCCCGAGCUCAACUUGGGAACUGCAUUUGUGACUGCAUAGCUAGAGUACGGUAGAGGGGAGUGGAAUUCCGCGUGUAGCAGUGAAAUGCGUAGAUAUGCGGAGGAACACCGAUGGCGAAGGCAAUCCCCUGGACCUGUACUGACGCUCAUGCACGAAAGCGUGGGGAGCAAACAGG
rnacentral:rRNA from 1 species